rnacentral:lncRNA from 1 species
UUGCUCAUCUUAUUGUCCUAGGGCAGGAAUCUUGUGACCAGAGAGUAGUAUUACUAACAUCAGUCAGCAUGGCCCAAUACCUCUUUGUCUGGUUUAAUGUGCUAUAGGAGACAGGGACAGCUGGAAUCCCUUGCAAUUUUCAGCUGAGUGCUAAAGAAACCUAACUGGUUUACAUCCAGAUGUGUUCAGAUGUGAAAUUUAUGAGUUUAGGUGGAACACAUCUGAAACUCCAUGGGUUUUCAUGGUAUAAAGCCUUCUCUCUUAUUUUGGCUAGAGUUGCCGUUUGGAGAUUUUGUAUUAAUCCCAGCCUGUAAACCAGAGCAACAUUAGUGGGUGUGAACCUGGAGGAACCAUCCAAGCAGAAAAUGGUUUUCAUGAAAACCCAACCCAUCACAUUUUCAGCAGAUCUGCUUUAUUUCAACAAUUUUUGGCUUAAGACAUUAGGCAGGUGGCUAAAAACCUGCUGCUCUCAUACCCCCUUGUCUGAAGCCACUUUCCAAAGGAGAGGAAUUUUGAUUGAAUUCUAGUUUCGUUGAUCACCUUCCAAGACAGUCUAUCAGCCAAUGCAUUAGUUGUGCAAAUAGACUCCUGCCCAUUAAAAGUCUACAGAGAUGUGCCACUUAUGCCAACUCCUGAAUUAACCCAGUGGUAACAUGGUGAGUGUCUUUAUGGGUUAGGGGUUUUUUUUCACUUGAAAAUAUCUGAAAUAAUUUUAAUGUGUUACAACAUUCUGCCUCUGAGUAGAACAUAUUUUAAGAAAUGCACAGUGUGGGAGUCUGCUGUGUGUCCUACAGACACAGAGAAAGCACUCAAAAAGAGCAGAGCAGACAUAUCUUUGACCUGAUCUUAUACCCUCUGGAUGCAGCAUUACUCCAGCAGUCCAAGUAAAUCCUUACAGGCACCACAAGUUGCCUUAAAUCACCCCUCUUGCAAAGAGCAGCAUUUCUGGGCAGGGGUGCCACCACGUGAUUUUACCACCUUCCAAAGCCAGGCCCACUUAUGGCAUGCUUCCCAUGCCCAGGUUUGGGAGAGCUCAUUAGGCAACCCCACCUUGCCACCUUAAUUCCUGAUGUGCAGUGUCAUCCCUCUUAAUUUUCAAAGCUAUUAGAUUCCUUUUAUAAAUCUCUGUUCUACUCAACCAAAGCUCAAACACAUACAUUCUUCAGGUUUUGGGUAAUACCAUUGUGAAGGUCAGUAUUUUGGUUCACUACACAUAACUGUAUUGCAAAGUGAUAUUCAUAUCCUAUCAGAUUAUUGGAGUGAAAUGGGUGUUGUCUUUCUGGACAGCCAACAAUGGCAGAAAUUAAUCCACAUGAUAAUCUGAUUAUGUUUCUCAUAGCAGACAAAGUACUCAAUUAUGUGCUUACUUCUAUUUAAACUUAUAUUCUUUAUGAAAGUUACUGGAAAACAGUUUUAUUUAACAUCUGUAUUCAUAAACUCUGAGAACUGAGAAAGAGUACAAUGGGAGCAGAGAUGAGAAAUGGAAAGGAAGUAAAUCAAUAGGCUUACUCUCUUAGUCAAAUUUAAAUACUUACAUUUGUGGGAUGAAUGCCUAAUUGACAUGACUAAGAAAAAUGUUGGCUUUCUGUUGGGGAAAUACCAUUCAUAUACAUGGUUUGUGAAAUGAAAUCUGAGAAUAUGUGAUGCUGGAAGAGAUGUGAAAAAUGAGGAGUGGUGUAGAUGUGUAAGCUGCAUAUGAAAUUGCAGCCAAACUGCCACAGUGGGGGAACCUUGUAGCAGAGCAGAUGAUGGAUACUCCUAUGUUUUGCUGAACUCACAGAGGGGGCUGUAGCCUGGGCAGAAAGGCAGCAACAUUUUAUUUCUGCAGUGAUUGCAAGUUGAUAGUCCUACUUAGUCUGUUUAAAUGUGGUAGGUUCCUGAUUGUACUACAUUAUUAUGUGUCAGUCAGGUGAUUGACAAGUGAUCUUGUAAUGGCAACUUUUCUUAACCUGGAAAUACCUUACACAAGAUGAUCAGCCUCAGCUGCUACCUUUUAGCUAGAAAAGCUUCACAGAUGCCUGAUGCGGCAGCUAUGGACUUGUCCUGGCCAUUUGCCAUAUAAGUACAGUUUUGCAAACAGAUGUAUCCAAAUACUCAUAUACUAAGGUUGAUGAUAUUUGCCCUUUAAACUUGAUUUUCAGGGGCAAGUCUUUAAGCUGCUGGUUGGGGCUGGAAGGGUAAGAGAGGAUCACAACAGGGUCUCCUAUUGGCAGUGCGGAUCAGAGCAAAGGCACUGCUCCCCUCAUCCCCCUACUGGUCUGCACUUGUUCUUUGCGAUGCUGAAAAGCUUUUUGCAACACAUGGUGCCAGUGACAUUUAGUAAGAAAUCUGGGCCUUGAAUGAAUGCAGGAACACAUAAAUAAGCAAAGAAAUGAGAAGGAGUAAAAGAAAAAGCAGAAGGGACAACAGUGGUUGUACUUGUUUUCUUUGGAUCUUCUUUGGACUGUUUGCCUUCUCUCUCUGAAAUUAUUUGGGUGAACUGGUGCCUCCAUGGGGUUUUUUACUUUAAUUACCAAUGAACUAUGCAGAUGAAAUUUACUGAAUAAGAAGACAGAUGUACUCUGCAGAUUGGCAUGCAUACUCAUAAAUUUGGGAAAAGAGCAAGAUCUUACUUAUCACAUCUAAUUGGGCACAGACCAGAAGGACUGAGGAAUUUAUAGACAAUGUUUUCAUCCACUAAAAAAAUAAAAAAAUUAAAAAAAAAGAGACAUUUCUGAUUUGUAAACUGCUGGCUUCAUUCAAUUUAAAUCACAUCAGCGAUAACUGAAGUGGAGUCAUCAUUGCUUCCAGAGCUUGACUUGCUUGAGAGACAUCCAGAAGAGGAAAGAGCAGAAGUCAGGAGAAGCACAGAACAAAGAACACUGAAAAUAAUUAAAAGACAUAGGGAACUGAGUGCUUUGGAUAAAAAACAUCACUUCAUGUUUUCUUGCAGCUGGUGGACAGUGUGGAAGCAUAUGAGAAGCACAGAAAAUAAGGAUUCCCCAUGAGCACCAAAUGGGUCGUGAAAGGCAAGCAAAGCUGCCAAAGGCCAUAGAGACACAGGCAACUGCUGCCUGGCUCCCAGUUAUGGGGAGAGGUUGCUCAAUGUGGCCACUCUUUGCUCUACCCAGUUUUUACAAAGUAUAAAGAUUCCUGCGAGGAAUAACUAGUCAUUAGCAGAAUUCAUUCGUCUUCAACAAAUUCCCUUCAACAAACAGCAUCAGCACUGCUUGUGUAAGAGGAAAACAGAGAAGUAACAAUGCACAGCCAUGAGUAGCAAUCCCAGGGUGCAAACAACUGCAGAGCUGCAAAGCCUUCUUCGGGGGGGCUGGAAGAGGGAAAAAAGGGGAGUGUGGAU